UGGUGAGUUGCCAAGAAUGAUUGUUCAAGUCUCUGUUUUUACUAUGCUCUAUGUCCCAUUAUUUCAGUGUUCUUUUUGCUUAUUCUAAUCUGCAACUACAUAAUAUAAAAAGUUAGAUUUAGAGAAUUAAGCAAGUGCUGACUUGGAAAGCAUUUGCUGGUUGCCAACGCGGUGAUUAUGUUGAUGUAGAAGAAGCAAGAGAGUUUAAGAAUAUGGUAUUCAACGCUAUAAUCCUCAGAUUAAUUUUUACAACUAACCAAGGUUCAUCAGGCAUUGUUGAUCUUAUAGACUGGGUUAGGCUGUGUGAGAGAGAAGGAAGGGUAAUGGACUGUAUAGACAGAGACAUUGCAGGUGUUGAAGAAUCCUCCAAAGAGAUGGACCAACUGCUUGCAACAUCUCUCUGUACAUGAAAGGCUAUUUGAUACUUUCUUAAUUUUGAAAUAGUCAUUGAUUAAGAAUACCAACAAAUGUUCAUAUAUCAAGAGGAAGAUUACCAAGUUCAGUGUGUUGUUGGACAAUACCCUAGAAGUUGCACUCACUAUGUAACCCCAUCACAGAGAAUUCUUUUGGAGGAGUUACUUCACAGUAUACUGGAUGUACCCUAUGAUACAUCAGCUGAGGCUGAAUUGCCCUACUCACUUAUAACCGAAGCUAAGUUUGUUAAUAACCGAUCAAGUAGUGAAGGUUUUUGUAGUAUGUAGGUUAAAAAUUCUUUCACUUACACUAUUCAAAGACCAGUUAUUAAUGGUCGUUGUACCGCUGGUUUUGUCAAUGAAGCCUGGAAAGUUAAGUCAAAAAUCUGGCUGGCUCGAUUGAUGCGUUGGUUACAUGGCAGUUGAUCGGUGUGAUUCAUGUGGUAUUGGUGGUGAACUCGGUUGUUAUUGUUGUGUAUUUGUGUUGAAUGGGUUGUUGAUAUGGAGAAGAAGAUGAGUUGGUGUUGUUGAAAGUUUUAGUUUGAAAGUUGUUAAUGGAGAUAUAUGAAAAAUUAAAAGAAUAGGGUUAGUGACAGCAUUGCUGGAUUUGAAGGAAAUGGUAUUUCUUAUGAAAGCGGUGAGAAAUCUCUGUCAAGCGACUCAAAUACACGGAAAGAUUCUUCCAGCAGCGGCAGUGCUGUGGAAAAGCCACCACCGUUGGCUGGGACCAAUGUUAUGAACAUUAUAUUGGUUGCAGCAGAAUGCGUUCCUUGGUCGAAAACAGGCGGGCUUGGAGAUGUUGCUGGAUCAUUACCAGUUUGCCCAUUUUAAUUGUCCAAUCGUUGAUGAUGAUUCUGUCACCAAAAGGGCGGGGGCAUUAGUUCACCAUUUUCCAUUUGCUAUGCACACUAGAAGAUAUUCUUUCUAAACGAAUGCUGAUGAUCUAAAAUCUAUGAUCUAAAAUCUCAAUUGUACACUGGAUUUCUUAUUACUAUUGGAUUGUGAUUUCUGAUUUAUGUGGAAUUAUGUGAAUAUUGUGCCCCCUUUCUUCUCUAUACUCUGUCAUGUUUAUUUUCUAAUUAAAAUGGAUCACUUUAAUUUAGACACAUGGUUUAUGAGAUUAUUUCUUUGUAUGCGUCUUAAGAGAGUUGCAGGUUAUGGCUAGAACUUUUUGUUCAUGAUUAAUCAGGAAUUUGGAGCUUGACCUUAU